UACGAAGGGGGCUAGCGUUGCUCGGAAUCACUGGGCGUAAAGGGUGCGUAGGCGGGUUUUUAAGUCAGGGGUGAAAUCCUGGAGCUCAACUCCAGAACUGCCUUUGAUACUGAAAAUCUUGAGUCCGGGAGAGGUGAGUGGAACUGCGAGUGUAGAGGUGAAAUUCGUAGAUAUUCGCAAGAACACCAGUGGCGAAGGCGGCUCACUGGCCCGGUACUGACGCUGAGGCGCGACAGCGUGGGGAGCAAACAGG
rnacentral:rRNA from 1 species